rnacentral:rRNA from 1 species
GACGAACGCUGGCGGCGUGCCUAAAACAUGCAAGUCGAACGAGGUAGCAAUACCUAGUGGCGAACGGCGGAGUAAUACGUGAACAACGUGCCCUAAAGACUGGGAUAUACAGCCGAAAGGCUGGGCAAUACCGGAUGUGGUGGAGACCUGACAUCAGGAUUCCAUUAAAUGGUUUUUCGCUUUAGGAGCGGUUCACGGCCUAUCAGCUAGUUGGUGGGGUAACGGCCUACCAAGGCUACGACGGGUAGGGGGUCUGAGAGGAUGACCCCCCGAGUGGGACUGAGACACGGCCCACACACCUACGGGUGGCAGCAGUUGGGAAUCUUGCACAAUGGGGGAAACCCUGAUGCAGCGACGCCGCGUGGAGGACGAAGGGUCUAGGCCUGUAAACUCCUUUUCUCGGGAAAGACUUAGGACGGUACCCGAGGAAUAAGCACCGGCUAACUACGUGCCAGCAGCCGCGGUAAGACGUAGGGUGCAAGCGUUGUCCGGAUUUACUG